GGUCCUAUCGCGUUGAAACGCCAAUUCUCGUACGAUCACCGAAGUUAGGCAACGUCGAGCCUGGUCAGUACCUAGAUGGGUGACCGCAUUGGAAUACCAGGCGCUGCAAG